UACAGGGGGUGCAAACGUUGCUCGGAAUCAUUGGGCGUAAAGCGCACGUAGGCGGUUCGUUAUGUCGGAUGUGAAAGCCCUUGGCUUAACCGAGGAAGUGCAUCCGAAACUGGCGAGCUAGAGUACUAAAGAGGAUCGCGGAAUUCCCGGUGUAGAGGUGAAAUUCGUAGAUAUCGGGAGGAACACCGGUGGCGAAGGCGGCGAUCUGGGUGAUACUGACGCUGAGGUGCGAAAGCGUGGGGAGCAAACAGG
rnacentral:rRNA from 1 species